rnacentral:misc_RNA from 1 species
UCUCCGUUGGUGAACCAGCGGAGGGAUCAUUAUCGAGUUUAUAACUCCCAAACCCUAUGUGAACUUACCACUUGUUGCUUCGGCGCGCGCUUCGGUGCCGCCGAGGACACUUAAACUCUUUGUUUUUAUAAGCAUUUCUGAGUGGCCGAAAGGUAAAAUACAAAUGAAUCAAAACUCUCAACAACGGAUCUCUUGGUUCUG